rnacentral:tRNA from 2 species
ACGGGUCUAGCUCAGUUGGUAGAGCAUCGGUCUCCAAAACCGAGUGUCGGGAGUUCGAGUCUCUCGACCCGUGCCA